rnacentral:snRNA from 1 species
AUGUUGGCCAGAAACAAGAGUUACAACAACUGAAAUGAUACAGAGAAGGUUAGCAUGGCACCUGGCCUAAGGAUGACAUGCAAAUCUGUGAAGCAUUCCAUAUUUUU